rnacentral:rRNA from 1 species
UACGUAGGGUGCGAGCGUUAAUCGGAAUUACUGGGCGUAAAGCGUGCGUAGACGGUUAUGUAAGUCAGGUGUGAAAGCCCCGGGCUCAACCUGGGAAUUGCAUUCGAGACUGCGUAGCUAGGGUGCGGAAGAGGGAAGCGGAAUUUCCGGUGUAGCGGUGAAAUGCGCAGAUAUCAGGAGGAACACCGAUGGCGAAGGCAGGUCUCUGGGCCACUACUGACGCUGAGAAGCGAAAGCGUGGGGAGCGAACAGG